rnacentral:rRNA from 1 species
AGAGUUUGAUCCUGGCUCAGGAUGAACGCUGGCGGCGUGCCUAAUACAUGCAAGUCGAGCGAACAGACGAGGAGCUUGCUCCUCUGACGUUAGCGGCGGACGGGUGAGUAACACGUGGAUAACCUACCUAUAAGACUGGGAUAACUUCGGGAAACCGGAGCUAAUACCGGAUAAUAUAUUGAACCGCAUGGUUCAAUAGUGAAAGACGGUUUUGCUGUCACUUAUAGAUGGAUCCGCGCCGCAUUAGCUAGUUGGUAAGGUAACGGCUUACCAAGGCAACGAUGCGUAGCCGACCUGAGAGGGUGAUCGGCCACACUGGAACUGAGACACGGUCCAGACUCCUACGGGAGGCAGCAGUAGGGAAUCUUCCGCAAUGGGCGAAAGCCUGACGGAGCAACGCCGCGUGAGUGAUGAAGGUCUUCGGAUCGUAAAACUCUGUUAUUAGGGAAGAACAAAUGUGUAAGUAACUAUGCACGUCUUGACGGUACCUAAUCAGAAAGCCACGGCUAACUACGUGCCAGCAGCCGCGGUAAUACGUAGGUGGCAAGCGUUAUCCGGAAUUAUUGGGCGUAAAGCGCGCGUAGGCGGUUUUUUAAGUCUGAUGUGAAAGCCCACGGCUCAACCGUGGAGGGUCAUUGGAAACUGGAAAACUUGAGUGCAGAAGAGGAAAGUGGAAUUCCAUGUGUAGCGGUGAAAUGCGCAGAGAUAUGGAGGAACACCAGUGGCGAAGGCGACUUUCUGGUCUGUAACUGACGCUGAUGUGCGAAAGCGUGGGGAUCAAACAGGAUUAGAUACCCUGGUAGUCCACGCCGUAAACG